CUUGAUCGACCCCAGCCACAGCGGCCCGCUCGAACCCCGGUCCUGCCCGUAGGUCGCCAACAACGCCUGCGCCUC
rnacentral:antisense_RNA from 1 species